rnacentral:rRNA from 1 species
AUGCCUUUUCUUUCACUACUUUUUGUACAGCAAACCAAUGGAUCAAGUACAACGCCUUCUAACCAUGCAGUAGCAGUUCCCACCCAAUGCUACUGUUUUGUACACAGACGAGAAGUUUGUUUGAGAAAGAGGAGCAUGCUUCCUGCCUUUCAUCCAAUAUUAUAUAUUUCUAUUUCCUAUGUGGAACUAACAGUUCAUGUCUCUAGCUUCUACUACUUUAUCGUUUUAGACAAAAGCUUUUGUAACCAUGAUGCUGAUAUACUUGUGAUACGUACUUCAUGUGCUACCACAUUAAUAGGUACAUUGGUCGCAAGGAAAAAAAUCUACUUGCUGUCGGGAACCAAAGCAACAACAGAUCAAGUUACUUGGUCGGAAGAAAUUGUCAAGGGUCGCAGCUUACGCAUGAUUGGAAGUGGCGAUCUUAGUCUAUCUCACCUAAGUUACAUGAUAUAA